UACGUAGGGUGCAAGCGUUAAUCGGAAUUACUGGGCGUAAAGCGUGCGCAGGCGGUUGUGUAAGUCAGAUGUGAAAUCCCCGGGCUCAACCUGGGAAUUGCAUUUGAGACUGCACGGCUAGAGUGUGUCAGAGGGGGGUAGAAUUCCACGUGUAGCAGUGAAAUGCGAAGAGAUGUGGAGGAAUACCGAUGGCGAAGGCAGCCCCCUGGGAUAACACUGACGCUCAUGCACGAAAGCGUGGGGAGCAAACAGG
rnacentral:rRNA from 1 species